rnacentral:rRNA from 1 species
UACGUAGGCAGCAAGCGUUGUUCGGAUUUACUGGGCGUAAAGGGUGUGUAGGCGGUUGUUUAAGUUUGGUGUGAAAUCUCCCGGCUCAACCGGGAGGGUGCGCCGAAUACUGAAUGACUAGAGUGCGGGAGAGGAAAGUGGAAUUCCUGGUGUAGCGGUGAAAUGCGUAGAUAUCAGGAGGGACACCGGUGGUGUAGACGGCUUUCUGGACCGUAACUGACGCUGAGACACGAAAGCGUGGGUAGCAAACAGG